rnacentral:rRNA from 1 species
UACCAGACUCCUACGGGAGGCAGCAGUGAGGAAUAUUGGUCAAUGGCCGAGAGGCUGAACCAGCCAAGUCGCGUGAGGGAAGACUGCCCUAUGGGUUGUAAACCUCUUUUGUCAGGGAGCAAUUGGCGCUACGUGUAGCGUUAUCGAGAGUACCUGAAGAAAAAGCAUCGGCUAACUCCGUGCCAGCAGCCGCGGUAAUACGGAGGAUGCGAGCGUUAUCCGGAUUUAUUGGGUUUAAAGGGUGCGUAGGCGGGCUUUUAAGUCAGCGGUAAAAUUUCGGGGCUCAACCCCGUCGUGCCGUUGAAACUGGCGUUCUUGAGUGAGCGAGAAGUAUGCGGAAUGCGUGGUGUAGCGGUGAAAUGCAUAGAUAUCACGCAGAACUCCGAUUGCGAAGGCAGCAUACCGGCGCUCAACUGACGCUCAUGCACGAAAGCGUGGGUAUCGAACAGGAUUAGAUACACCAGUAAGC